ACAACAAACCUGCAAACUCCCCGAAAGGCACCCUUGAUAGACCAGAGACACCAGCCAGACAAUAUCUACAAAUUGUCAAGUGUGAUCUCACAUCUGGGAGACAACAUGUAUACAGGCCACUACAUCAGUGAUGUUUUGGACAGCCGUGGCAGUGGGUGGCUCUGCCUGGAUGACGCACAUGUCUUGAGGACAGAUGAGGCCACUGUGCUGAAG